rnacentral:pre_miRNA from 1 species
CAUCUACUCCCUCCGUUCUGAAUUACUUGUCUUAGAUUUGUCUAGAUACGGAGAUAUCUAGCACUAAAAUGAGUCUAGAUACAUCUGUAUCUAGACAAAUCCAAGACAAGUAAUUCGGAACGGAGGGAGUAUCUA